UUCCUCGUGGUCGCGCACCCGGCUCACCUCAAGAACAAAGCGCGGUUUCCUCCCUCGCCAUCCUUCCUUAUGGUCGCGCACCCGGCUCACCUCAACAACAAAGCGCGGUUUCCUCCCUCGCCAUCCUUCCUCGUGGUCGCGCACCCGGUUGGAUUUCACAGUCAUGGAAGUUCUGCUUUAAAAUCCGUUUCUGAAGAAGUGUUAAUGAUCUUGACACUGCUGACCAGGGACAAAAUGUCCCAUUGACAGUCAUGCUCUGGAGCAGGAUGGGCAGUGAGAGACCAGAGACCACAGGAUGGGUAAGAAAUAGCCCAGCUCAGGCUACUGGGUUGAAGAACUGCCAGAGCGUGAUCGCCAACGUGCAGAUUUCUGAUCUACGUGUAAUGUAGAAGCUGACUGUUCUGUAUCUGACGUUUCAUUUAGAGUCUAUGAAGUAGCUUAGGCCAAUUACUCAUAGCCGCCUGCCCCUCCUCAGUUACCUGGACAUAUGUCUUGUGUUCUGGAAUCAAAACUAAUUCUGAAUGCAUAUCCUGAAAACAUGGGACACUUACUCAGAUUUCACUCUUGGGUGUCAUUGGCCUUUUAAUUAUUUUCUAUCAAUAGACCGACCUUAGAUUUACUUGUCAAAAAAAGUAAGGUCAUUUUAUGAGCACUUUCAUUCCAAUUUCCUAGAUGUCUUUUCUGAUUAGAAAAACCUAUAAACUAUGUAGCUUUGAAUUUAUAGAAUCAUUAUUCCUGAAGGUUUUGCUGUCCUUUGCGCUCAGAGAUGGUCCCACUGACUCAGAGAUGGUCCCACUGACCCAGCAUGGCAGAGCCUGUGAUUGCAGCUCCAGGGGCCCUCAAUUCAUUUGUUUCCCUGCCUCUCCAUCUCCCCAUGUUAUCCUGUCACCCCAAAAAGCACCUGCCUGCAACACGGUC
rnacentral:lncRNA from 1 species